rnacentral:ncRNA from 1 species
GAAUAGAGGAUGCGGAAAAAAUCAGUAAUCCGGCAGAGGCAGUCCGUGCCGACGAUGCCGUGACGAAAGGUUUUUUCGCCGAAAUCCGCGGGAAACGCGACGUUCACGGGGUUGGGACGCGUCAGAACAUGACGCGGACUGUCACAGUUUUUUCUGUGGAGAGCUAAU